CCCGCCCGGCGGAACGACCCGCGAACGCGUAAUCGGAACAACACCGCGAGGUGGCCGCCCCUCGUCACCCCGUUGCCGCGGAGCGCUCGACCCCGCCUCUCCAUCCCCCUCGGGCGGGUGGGAUGCCGGGACCCGUCUCUCCGAGGCGAAUCGAACAACCCCCGGCGCGAGUCGCGCCAAGGAAUGGUAAUGUGAAAGGGGCACGUCCGCCGUCGUCGCACCGUUGGUGGUGACCGUGCGACGGGGAUGCGGCUGCUCCGUCGCGGAAAUACGAAACGACUCUCGGCAACGGAUAUCUCGGCUCCCGCAUCGAUGAAGAACGUAGCGAAAUGCGAUACUUGGUGUGAAUUGCAGAAUCCCGUGAACCAUCGAGUGUUUGAACGCAAGUUGCGCCCCAGGCCGUUAGGCCGAGGGCACGUCUGCCUGGGUGUCACGCAUCGUCGCCCCCCGUCCAAGCCUACGCCCUCGGGCUCCGGUUUAAAUGCGGGCGGAAAAUGGCUUCCCGUGCGCUCUCCGCCGGCGGUUGGCCUAAAAUCGAGUCCUCGGCGACGAAAGCGCCGCGACGACCGGUGGUGAUGCUCCGAGACGCCUCGUCCGAAGUCGUGCGCGCUCGUCGGGAAGGACCUCCCCACGACCCUCUUCUGCGCAAGGUGCGGUGCCGGCAUCGCGACCCCAGGUCNGGCGGGACCAC
rnacentral:rRNA from 1 species